AUGACUGAUACAAACUGCCCCAUCAUGAGCUGGAACAUUAGAGGCUUAAACACGCCGGCACGGCGCGCUGUAGUUAGCGAGGCGGCAGAGGCACAUAAGCUGGCAAUCCUUUGCCUCCAGGAGACCAAGAUCGAGGCCUGGAGCCGCCCUCUGGUCAGAGAGGUAGGCGGAGCGAGGCUCGCCGACUGCGUGGUGCUUCCCGCCUCCGGCACCAGGGGCGGCGCCGCGAUUUCCUGGGAUAGUAGUGUAGUAGACGUGCAAUCGCACGCCGUCGGGCAAUUCUCCAUCACCGUUAGUGUUAUUAUAAUGGCAACAUCAACACCGUACUGGCUAACCACGGUGUACGGCCCCGUCGACGACAGUAGAAAAGACGAGUUUUUGUCAGAAGUAGCUAGGGCGGCGCCGCCA
rnacentral:rRNA from 1 species